rnacentral:rRNA from 1 species
UACGGGGGGUGCGAGCGUUGUCCGGAAUCACUGGGCGUAAAGGGCGCGUAGGUGGCGUCGUAAGUCUGUGGUGAAAGCCCGGAGCUCAACUCCGGGUCUGCCGCGGAUACUGCGAGGCUUGAGUGCUGUAGAGGGGGGUAGAAUGCCGGGUGUAGCGGUGGAAUGCGUAGAGAGUCCGGAAGAACACCGGUGGCGAAGGCGGUCUGCUGGGCCAAGACUGACGCUGAGGCGCGACAGCGUGGGAGCAAACAGG